UGGAAGUAAAAGUCGUAACAAGGUUUCCGUAGGUGAACCUGCGGAAGGAUCAUUACCUAGAGUUGUAGGCUUUGCCUGCUAUCUCUUACCCAUGUCUUUUGAGUACCUUACGUUUCCUCGGUGGGUUCGCCCACCGAUUGGACAAAUUUAAACCCUUUGCAGUUGAAAUCAGCGUCUGAAAAAACUUAAUAGUUACAACUUUCAACAACGGAUCUCUUGGUUCUGGCAUCGAUGAAGAACGCGGCGAAAUGUGAUAAGUAGUGUGAAUUGCAGAAUUCAGUGAAUCAUCGAAUCUUUGAACGCACAUUGCGCCCCUUGGUAUUCCAUGGGGCAUGCCUGUUCGAGCGUCAUUUGUACCUUCAAGCUCUGCUUGGUGUUGGGUGUUUGUCUCCUGUAGACUCGCCUUAAAACAAUUGGCAGCCGGCGUAUUGAUUUCGGAGCGCAGUACAUCUCGCGCUUUGCACUCAUAACGACGACAUCCAAAAGUACAUUUUUACACUCUUGACCUCGGAUCAGGUAGGGAUACCCGCUGAACUUAAGCAUAUCAAUAAGCGGAGGA
rnacentral:rRNA from 1 species